GAUGAACGCUAGCGACAGGCUUAACACAUGCAAGUCGAGGGGCAGCGGGGAGCAGCAAUGCUCUGCCGGCGACCGGCGGACGGGUGAGUAACGCGUAUGCAACCAACCUACCAGCGGGGGAUAAUCCACCGAAAGGUGGUCUAAGACCGCAUAAGACAGGGGCACCGCAUGGUGCUAUUUGUUAAAGGGAACACUGGUAGACGGGCAUGCGUUCCAUUAGGCAGUUGGAGGGGUAACGGCCCACCAAACCGACGAUGGAUAGGGGUUCUGAGAGGAAGGUCCCCCACAUUGGUACUGAGACACGGACCAAACUCCUACGGGAGGCAGCAGUGAGGAAUAUUGGUCAAUGGGCGGAAGCCUGAACCAGCCAUGCCGCGUGCAGGAUGACGGCCCUACGGGUUGUAAAACUGCUUUUGCAGGGGAAAAACUUCCGGUUGCGACCGGGACUGGCGGUACCCUGUGAAUAAGCAUCGGCUAACUCCGUGCCAGCAGCCGCGGUAAACAUA
rnacentral:rRNA from 1 species